GUGUCAGCAGCCGCGGUAAUACGGAGGGUGCGAACGUUAAUCGGAAUCACUGGGCGUAAAGCGCGCGUAGGCGGUUUGUUAAGUGGGAUGUGAAAGCCCCGGGCUUAACCUGGGAAUUGCAUUUCAAACUGGCGAACUAGAGUGCGGUAGAGGGAGGUAGAAUUUCCUGUGUAGCGGUGAAAUGCGUAGAUAUAGGAAGGAAUACCAGUGGCGAAGGCGGCCUCCUGGAUCGACACUGACGCUAAGGCGCGAAAGCGUGGGGAGCAAACAGGAUUAGAAACCCUCGUAGUCC
rnacentral:rRNA from 1 species